rnacentral:tRNA from 1 species
GCUCGGUUGGUGUAGUCCGGCCAAUCAUCUUGGCCUUUCGAGCCGAGGACCAGGGUUCGAAUCCCUGACCGAGCACCA